UCUGAAACAAGAAACUAUGAAGAAGACUAAAAGAGAAAUAAUUUGUGCCUGUUUUUAAUCAACCAAUAUUGGCAAGAAAAAUUACUAAGGGUGCCACUUCUCUGGAGAUGAAAACUGUAUGCAUCAUUUUGAAAAAAUAUAACCAUUUACGAAUUUCACAAAGUCACUUAAAGAAUGAUAUGGUAGCUGUGAUUUAUUCUUUUAUUAUUAUUAUUAUUAUGAAUCCUCUAAAUUACUCCAUCCGUA
rnacentral:lncRNA from 1 species